UGUUCAUCAACUCCUAUCCCUACCUCCUCGCGGUACUGUCCGGGGUACGAGCAACCUUAGAGAAGAUCCCGCAACGGCUUCGUGGCGCGAGCCGAGAUGUGCAGG
rnacentral:ribozyme from 1 species